CCACUCCCCAAAGAAUAUUAUUACUAUUUAUGUUGUAUUUUUGCUAACUAAUUCUUGCAUAGCAUCUGGUUUGAUAAUUAAAGUAAAGUUUCUGACAUGGAGGUUUUCAAGUUGUAAUAUAUAUUUAUGUUUUAGGUAGAUUCCCAAACUUUGAAGAAACAUUGCAGUACUGAGGUAAAUGAACGUUGUAUGACAGAGCAUCGGGCUUACCGAAGCCAAGGUAUCUUCUUCGAUAACAAGGUUCAUAAUUGCAUUACUUGUGCUACAAGCACUCGUAAACACACCCCUUGUGCUUUGGCUAUUGUUUGAGAUUCUGCACAUUUCAGAUGUUGAGGUACGAGAGACCAAGAUGAUGGGAAGCACUCCCAUUAUCAUUGUAGCUUUCCAAACGCAACAGGUUUACUGUGUACGUGAUGCAAAUGGAUCAAUUAGAGAAGGCGGUAAGGUGAGUUAUGUUUCUUUUGUUUCCGUCUUUGCUUACACUAAUGCACCUUAUGUAAUUAGAGUUGAAUAUUAGACAAUCAAAAUGAAAAUCUUCCUGAUGAAAUAUGAAACUUCUGAGCUUCCACUUGCUUCUUGUAUUGACUGUUUUUUACUGUUUCUUCACGGUUUGUAUUCAUGGUACUUAUUUCCAUAAUGAAUGUUUCAUGUUCUGGGAAACAUUGCAGAAACAUAGAAUUUCAACAAUCUGUCUAAGCGUUGAAGGAGAAGGCAGAAGAACUUAAGAGUUUCUAGGUCAUUUUAAAAACUCAAGUAAUACCUAGACACGUUUUGAGCACGUUUUAGGUUGGUUUGACACUAAGUUUGUUGCACUUACACACUUGGUUGUCAUCUUG